UAGAUACAUUGUAACUGAGGAAGAUGC
rnacentral:sRNA from 1 species